UUUCAACUUUUCUUGAGGACUGCAGAUA
rnacentral:piRNA from 2 species